rnacentral:tRNA from 1 species
GCCUAGGUAGUUCAGUGGUUGAGCGCCUGCCUUCGGCCCAGGACAUAAUCCCGGGGUCCUGGGAUCGAGUCCCAGUCGGGCU